UACGGGGGGGGCAAGCGUUGUUCGGAAUUACUGGGCGUAAAGGGCUCGUAGGCGGCCAACUAAGUCAGACGUGAAAUCCCCAGGCUUAACCUGGGAACUGCGUCUGAUACUGGAUGGCUUGAAUUCGGGAGAGGGAUGCAGAAUUCCAGGUGUAGCGGUGAAAUGCGGAGAUAUCUGGAGGAAUACCGGUGGCGAAGGCGGCAUCCUGGACCGACAUUGACGCUGAGGAGCGAAAGCUAGGGGAGCAAACGGG
rnacentral:rRNA from 1 species